GAGUUUGAUCAUGGCUCAGGACGAACGCUGGCGGCGUGCUUAACACAUGCAAGUCGAACGGGGUCCAAGGAGUGCUUGCACUCCUGAAGACCUAGUGGCGAACGGGUGAGUAACACGUGAGCAACCUGCCCCAAAGACUGGGAUAACCCCGGGAAACCGGAGCUAAUACCGGAUGCCGUCAUCUGAUCGCAUGGUCGGAUGACGAAAUGAAUUUCGCUUUGGGAGGGGCUCGCGGGAUAUCAGCUUGUUGGUGGGGUAACGGCCUACCAAGGCUUCGACGUCUAGCUGGUCUGAGAGGACGAUCAGCCACACUGGGACUGAGACACGGCCCAGACUCCUACGGGAGGCAGCAGUGGGGAAUCUUGCCCAAUGGGCGAAAGCCUGAGGCAGCAACGCCGCGUGUGGGACGAAGGCCCUCGGGUUGUAAACCACUUUCAGUAGGGACGAAAUUGACGGUACCUACAGAAGAAGCUCCGGCCAACUACGUGCCAGCCGCCGCCGU
rnacentral:rRNA from 1 species